AAUUAAUAUAUUUAUUGAGCUCUAUCUACACUAUGGACCGUAUAGCAGCACAGCUUUGCUGCUACAGCCGUUCCUCUGUAAGGUCUCCCGUGUAGCCACUCGUUGCCGGCAGGAGAGAGCUCUUCUGCCAGCAAAAUAAAACCACCCCCAGUGAGUGGCGGUAGCUUUGUCAGUGGGAGAGCGUCUCCCGCUGAC